rnacentral:rRNA from 1 species
AACGAACGCUGGCGGCAUGCCUAACACAUGCAAGUCGAACGAGACCUUCGGGCCUAGUGGCGCACGGGUGCGUAACGCGUGGGAACCUGCACUUAGGUUCGGAAUAACUCCCCGAAAGGGGUGCUAAUACCGGAUAAUGUCUUCGGACCAAAGAUUUAUCGCCUUGGGAUGGGCCCGCGUUGGAUUAGCUAGUUGGUAGGGUAAAAGCCUACCAAGGCGACGAUGCAUAGCUGGUCGGGGAGGAGGAUCAACCGCACUGGGACUGCGGCACAGACCAGAACGGGACGCAGCGGUGGAGAAGAGUGUAUUAUGGGCGGAGGGCAGAUGUAGUCCAGCAGUGCCGGGGAUGAGGGGAAUGGGGUUGGAUUGUGAUUCUGCUUGUGACGAGGUGUGAGUGACGGUACCGGGUAAAGAAGCACCGGCUAACUACGUG